UGGCAUCACGAGGGCUUAACUGUCUCCCCUCCCCNNUCAAUGAAAUUGAUCUCCCCGUGCAGAAGCGGGGAUAAUACCAUAAGACGAGAAGACCCUAUGGAGCUUUAGACGUCAGAGCAGCCCAUGUAAAGCACCCCUUAACAAAGGAAAAAACCAAAUGAAGCCUGCCCUAAUGUCUUUGGUUGGGGCGACCGCGGGGAAAUACAAAACCCCCAUGUGGAGUAGGAAUACACAUUCCUAAACCCAAGAGCUCCCGCUCUAAUGAACAGAAAUUCUGACCAAUAAGAUCCGGCACACGCCGAUCAACGGACCGAGUUACCCUAGGGAUAACAGCGCAAUCCCCUUAAAGAGCCCUUAUCGACAAGGGGGUUUACGACCUCGAUGUUGGAUCAGGACAUCCUAAUGGUGCAGCCGCUAUUAAGGGUUCGUUUGUUCAACGA
rnacentral:rRNA from 1 species